UUUCCGUUUUCUUCUAAGUGUUACAAAAAUUUUUUUAAAGGUAUUCAAAAGUAUUUUAAAUAUUACCCUCGGAUAUAAUUAAGACUCGAAACAUAAGAGUUAGAGUGCCAAAGAGCGAAUACGCCACUGUAUGUACACGGCAUAUUCGCAGUGCGACGCCUUUGACGAUAACACGACGUGUCAACUGGGAUGAUAAGGGGCUCCUCUCUUUCUUUCUCUUUUUCUCUCGCGCAUCACAGAGAUUUUUAAUUGCGACGUUCUCUACCUGAAGUACUGCCAGCAAACUGAGACUUAAGAUCUGUUUGCUUUAGCUGCCUCCUUCUCUUUCCGCGUUUAAGAUCAAAUAGUUGUACAUUUCAGCUUUCAGAGAAGAAAAGACGUAAUGCGUAAAAAGCGCAUUAAAAGUGUAAACAGUAUUUGCGGAUAUAUGGCCUAAAAAUAAUUUCAAUACUUCGAAGCAAAGCUCUAUAUGAAAGAUAGACGAGAAUGUAAAAUUCGUUUUUUUUUUGUUUUUUUUUAAAGAAGCCUUGGAUAACUUUCAACAUAAAUUUAGUUUCCAAUAAAAAAAUAUUAAAUAUUUAAAGAUAAAUUUAGUCGCACAAAUUUAAAAAAAAUAAUAUAUUGAAACUAAUUAAAAAUAAUAUAUUGGCAUAUCGAAAUAAUUUCUAUUUAAAAAAAGAUAUAUGAUAUUUACGUAACACCAGAGUUAGUAUUGCAUAAUGUUGACUUUCUUCGUUAUCUAUUAUGUCUCGGGAACUUGUACUCGCGUAUUUUAUUUCAUCUAUUAAUUUGCUUGUCGUCUUUCCAGUAUAAUUUACAAUAUGAAUGUCGAAAGCAAAACAGUAUUGAACUCGUUGCCUCUCUGUCUUCUACUCGUAAAAACGUAAAACUAUUUGAAUUAUUGACUCUCUGUCAGGUAAUAUAUUUUAAAAUGAAACGGCGAGUCACUCCUGAGCCAAGCUUAAUUAAUCCAGAGACUGUCGAUGCAACCGGACCUUAACACGCAGUGCGCAGCCACACACGGAUGCGGAAUGUCACGCGAAAACGCAAGUCACGUUUAGGUCAUGGCACAAUUAGAUCGAACGCAAGCCAGCGGCCGUCACGCGCGCAAAACUUCCUUCAGGAUGAUCGCCGUUGGCGCUUCUAAUCGUCGCCGGAAAGUUUUCCAAUGUGUUACAUAUCACGGAAAGAUAUUCUUUUUUUUUAUAUACCUAACUUCGAAUAAACAACUGGAAUUGGAGAGUCUGGCUGAUAGAGUGGUUCGGCUGCUUCUUAAAGAGCCUGAGGAAUUUAAUUCGUUAAGUAAUAUAUUUUGAACACAUGGAAUGCGGAUUACUUUUCGAAACGCGUGUGCGGCCGUUCAAUGAUCGAUCUCUUCCAAUGUUUUCCAAAGCCAUCAAUAAUUUUUUUUUCCUCUAUGUCGAUGCAUUGGCACGGCCGACUUGCUAUCUGCUGGCAGAUGACUGUGACAAAGAGACUGCUGAGAUUGCUCGCGCUUUUCGCGCAAACAGGUCGCGGAGAACGACGAGUGUAAUAAAGUCGCUGUCGAUGGACACACGCAAAGAAAGAGAAAUAGGAGGCGGACAGGAAGAGUGAGAGAGAACCGAAGUGAGUCAGUUCCCUUGCGAUAAAAGCACAAUACAGAAAGCUCCUGUUCCCGCAUCGACGGACAAUGAGACAGCGAAUGAAAGUGUGAUUCAUGCCUUCGUUUUCUUCGCGUUCUUUAUUCCUUCCCGCACUCCUCCCAUGCAUGCUUAUUAGCGCUCGCAUUUGUGUGCACUCGAUAUCACCACCGAUGGUGGCGGUGUCGCAUUGUUCACAAAAAGCUGCGGGGGUGGCGAGCGACAAUCGCGAUAAUUUCCAUGAGCGUGCCGACAAAAUACCGAGAAAACAGAAAUUAGUAGUAGAGCCGCGGUAUCUUUGGAUGUCUGCUUUGUAUAUUUUUAGAUUUUUCGUAUCGUGUCACGCAUAUUGUACACGGUUUGAUUUCUCGGGCGUUAAUUGCGAGAUACGAACGCGACAACACUCCGCCAUGAUAUAUAAUCGACGAUCGACGUACUAAUCCCGCGGUUUUUUAACGAUCUCAUAUCUAUUAGAUAAACACCUGUUGAUUUGAAAUCGAUUUCAACGAGUUUAUUAUUAGAGAGCACACAUCAGUUUUUAUAUUCACGUGUAAGUUGCGUGGAUGUUUAAA